UCCGUAGGUGAACCUGCGGAAGGAUCAUUACCACACCGAUCCCAGAUCGAUUCCUUCUUGUGAAGUUGGACCAACAACAGAUUUGUGUGUGUUGCUGGUCCAGUUGACACACAACCCCCCAUGAAAUCACCGGCCUUGAACUGUAAGGACCAUGAAAUGGAAAAAGCUUUGGUUGUUGUACAAACACCAAACGAAUUGAAUACAUUACAACUUUCAGCAAUGGAUGUCUUGGUUCCCACACCGAUGAAGAACGCAGCGAAAUGCGAUACGUAAUGCGAAUUGCAAAACCUUGUGAAUCAUCAAUCUUUUGAACGCACAUUGCGCUUCCGGGAAUCUCCCGGUAGCAUGCUUGUCUGAGUGUCAGCGAAACUCUCUCAGCGCGGAUGUGAAUUAUGCGUCUGCAGCUGGUGUAUGGUGGUGGCAACAAUAUACUGUCUCUGUCGAAAUGAGUCUUUCGGGUAAUUGGUUGUUACACGGCCUCUACCUCUGGUAAACUAUCAGCAGGAAACGUCGACACACCAACCAACAUAAAUUCUUUCCUGAUCUCAGCUCAAGUAAGAGGACCCGCUGAAUUUAAGCAUAUUAUUAAGCGGAGGAAAAGGAACUAACCAGGAUUCCCCUAGUAACGGCGAGUGAAGCGGGAGAAGCUCAUGAUGUGAAUCUGUGCUCUGCACGGAAUUGUGGUCUAUAGUUGUUGGCGCUAUUUGGACCGGGCCAAGUCCCUUGGAACAGGGCAGCUGAGAGGGUGAGACUCCCGUUCGCCUGGUCCUUUGAGCCUGCUUCUACGAGUCGAGUUGUUUGGGAUUGCAGCUCUAAUUGGGUGGUAAAUUCCAUCUAAAGCAGAAUACUGGUGGGAGACCGAUAGCGUACAAGUACCGUGAGGGAAAGAUGAAAAGAACUUUGGAAAGAGAGUUAAACAGUACGUGAAAUUGCUGAAAGGGAAACGCUUGAAGU
rnacentral:rRNA from 1 species